CACUAGGGAAUCCGACGAGAUCGCGAGCUUCGUGAUUGAGGAUUUCCAUGCGGCUUGUGGUAAUUUGUGAUGGACUAGUUGGAGCACCCCUGCAGGGUUAAAUCUUUCGGAAAGCCGUGCCCGCGGUUAUGUGGCAACGUGGAAACUUUGUUUAACACUGGUUCUAGAUAACUUGAAGUUAACUUAAUUAAAACUUGCCAACUGUGUGCGUUUCCGUGACUGUCUCUUUCGUGAGUUCCUUCUCCGAUCGAGGACACGGUGGGGUUAUGUCUGACGUAGGUAGUUGUUCAGGAUCAUUCUUAUGAUCAUCAGUAGACACGUCCGUUUUGCGUAGAUCUUCCCCCUCUUAUUUCUGGUAUUCGUAAGUUAGCCACCAUAUAUGUGCUUAGCCGCUGCUGCAACCUCACCACUUAACCAUACCUCACCCAUUAAGCUUUGUUAGUCUUGAUACCUUUGGAAAUGAG
rnacentral:lncRNA from 1 species